UCUCUGAAAAGCUGUUUUCUAGCUGGGCG
rnacentral:piRNA from 1 species